rnacentral:rRNA from 1 species
UAAGGGGGUGGCAAGCGUUAUCCGGAAUUACUGGGCGUAAAGCGUCCGCAGGCGGCCUUGUAAGUCUGUCGUUAAAGCGUGGAGCUCAACUCCAUUUCAGCGAUGGAAACUCCAAGGCUUGAGUGUGGGAGGGGCAGAGGGAAUUCCGGGUGUAGCGGUGAAAUGCGUAGAUAUCGGGAAGAACACCAGUGGCGAAGGCGCUCUGCUGGGCCAUAACUGACGCUCAUGGACGAAAGCCAGGGGAGCGAAAGGG